CGAGGAAAAGAAACUAACAAGGAUUCCCCUAGUAACGGCGAGUGAAGCGGGAAGAGCUCAAAUUUGAAAUCUGGCAGUCUUCGAUUGUCCGAGUUGUAAUCUAUAGAGGCGUUUUCCGUGCCGGACCGUGUCCAAGUCUCCUGGAAAGGAGUAUCAAAGAGGGUGAUAAUCCCGUACUUAACACGACCACCGGUGCUCUGUGAUACGUCUUCUACGAGUCGAGUUGUUUGGGAAUGCAGCUCAAAAUGGGUGGUGAAUUCCAUCUAAAGCUAAAUAUUGGCGAGAGACCGAUAGCGAACAAGUACCGUGAGGGAAAGAUGAAAAGCACUUUGGAAAGAGAGUUAAACAGUACGUGAAAUUGUUGAAAGGGAAACGAUUGAAGUCAGUCGUGUUCUUUGGAUUCAGCCAGUUCUGCUGGUCUACUUCCUUGGAACGGGUCAACAUCAGUUUUGUCCGGUGGAUAAAGGUAGUAGGAAUGUGACUUCUCCGGAAGUGUUAUAGCCUAUUAUCACAUACACUGGGUGAGACUGAGGACUGCAGCUCGCCUUUAUGGCCGGCCUUCGGGCACGUUCGAGCUUAGGAUGUGACA
rnacentral:rRNA from 1 species